rnacentral:rRNA from 1 species
UACGGAGGGGGCCAGCGCUGUUCGGAAUUAUUGGGCGUAAAGGGCGCGUAGGCGGCCGGAUAAGUCUGACGUGAAAUCCCCCGGCUCAACCGGGGAACUGCGUUUGAAACUGUUCGGCUCGAGUCCGGGAGAGGGUAGUGGAAUUCCCAGUGUAGCGGUGAAAUGCGUAGAUAUUGGGAGGAACACCGGUGGCGAAGGCGGCUACCUGGACCGGUACUGACGCUGAGGCGCGAAAGCUAGGGUAGCAAACAGG